UCCCCCAUCGUCUAAUGGCAGGACGCCGGAGUUUGGUUCCGGUAAUCGAGGUUCGAAUCCUUGUGGGGGAG
rnacentral:tRNA from 2 species